rnacentral:rRNA from 1 species
GUGGGGAAUCUUGCGCAAUGGGCGAAAGCCUGACGCAGCCAUGCCGCGUGAAUGAUGAAGGUCUUAGGAUUGUAAAAUUCUUUCACCGGGGACGAUAAUGACGGUACCCGGAGAAGAAGCUCCGGCUAACUUCGUGCCAGCAGCCGCGGUAAUACGAAGGGGGCUAGCGUUGCUCGGAAUUACUGGGCGUAAAGGGCGCGUAGGCGGACAGCUUAGUCAGAGGUGAAAGCCCAGGGCUCAACCUUGGAAUUGCCUUUGAUACUGGCUGUCUUGAGUUUGGGAGAGGUGAGUGGAACUCCGAGUGUAGAGGUGAAAUUCGUAGAUAUAGGAAGGAACACCAGUGGCGAAGGCGACCACCUGGACUGAUACUGACACUGAGGUGCGAAAGCGUGGGGAGCAAACAGGAUUAGAUACCCCAGUAGUCC